UUCCUGUACCAUGAUGCUCUGCUUCACACAGACACAAGCUUCCUAUACCAUGAUGCUCUGCUUCACACAGACACAAGCUUCCUGUACCAUGAUGCUCUGCCUCACCCUAGCAUAAGCUUCCUGUACCAUGAUGCUCUGCCUCAAAGGGACCCAGAUUCAUCAGAGCCAAGGACUAUGAAUCAAAACUCUGAAGCUGUGAGCUUAAACUAACCCUCCUAGUUAUUUUAAAGGAAGGACAGCUACAGUAAUGCCACCCAUAUCUCAGAAAUGAAAAAUGAAGACCAACCAUCUCACAGAGAGGCUAAAAUAGAAGACGACAGAAAAUGGAUCCUAACAAUGACACAAAUGGAUAACAUGAUCAUACUGAACGAGGCAAAUAAAAACAGAAUUUUC
rnacentral:lncRNA from 1 species